CAAUCCAUUGUACUUGUAAAUGAUUCAGCAAUCAUAGAAGUACGCAGGGAAAGUCACCCCUUGGCUUUCGAGUGUGACACACUGGAUAAUAACGAAAUAGUAGCAACUAUUAAAUUCACAGUCUAUACGAGCAGUGGUUUGUGUGUUUUCUCUAGAAUUGCAGAUGAGAAGAUCAAGCCUACCAGCCACUGAUGCAGCCCUAAUUUUUGUGCUGACCAUAGGAGUCAUUAUCUGUGUAUUUAUAAUUUUCUUAUUGAUCUUCAUAAUCAUAAAUUGGGCAGCAGUCAAGGCUUUCUGGGGGGCAAAAUCCUCUACACCUGAGGUACAAUCUGAGCAGAGUUCUGUGAGAUACAAAGAUUCAACUUCUCUUGACCAAUUACCAACAGAAAUGCCUGGUGAAGAUGAUGCUUUAAGUGAAUGGAAUGAAUGAUGUUGGAAUGAUAUAUAACAAACCAAAGGAUAUUACAGAAUAUUAGAUUCAUUAUUACAAAAUAAAAUAUACAUUGAAAUACUUUAAUAAUGUUGCAAUGGAUUGCCACAGUGUGAAGGAAAUGCAGGGUGGGGAUAGGACUGUUUUAUCAGUGCAUUUUUUCAGUACAGUUAUCAAAUAUUACUUUUAAUUUGUUCUCAACACUUAUUUCAGGUAAUAGCUUGGGGAUAUUUAUCUAAAGGUACCCCCAACAAAUCUUCUAAGUGCAUUUUUGAUCACUUUGAUAACUUCUUAGGUGAUUUGCCUGUUUUGUCUUAAAUAAGAACAAUGUAAUAUAGAAAUGCUUUACAUAUUAGACUUUCUCUCCCCUGGAAGCACUGGGUUGAACUUGCUAAAGCAAAUCAUACUUUAGAAUCUCUGCAGGGAAUGUGACAUACAAAGUUUGUAAGACAUGAAGUAAUAACGAUAAUGAUAACAAUAAAUACGUAGUGA
rnacentral:sRNA from 1 species